GGGAGCCUUUCAAACACACCACCUCAUUGUGUUUUCAUUCUUUACCAGCACAGCACAUCAGAUCGUCCUCCAUUCACAAAGCAGUGAUGGCAGAAGCAGCUACCAGAACAAGAGGGCGAACUUGCUUCAGAUUCAUCAAGUGCUUGUUUGUCUUUAUAAUUCUGUUCAUCUUAUCUCUUCUGUGCCUUAUUUUCAUGGCAAUCUGGGCCAAGGACCAAGUGAUUCAGCAAAUACUGAAAAGAGUAAGCGAAGACAUUGACAAACACAAGGAAGAUGGCGUGUAUAGAAGAGCUGCAAUCACAAAAAUAUUUGAUCUCGCAAGUUCACUGGAUAGCAACGAAAAACUGGAAAUAUUCAAGGAAACCCUUCAAACAGCGAUAGAAGAGGAAGAGAGACUGAAGGAAGAAUCCAGAUACAAAGUGAAAACCUUCUCAAAACAAUACAAUGAAAAAAUGAAGGAACUUAUGCCUCAAUUGAAACAAGCAAUGAUAUCAUCAUAUAAUUUUCCACCACUGCAGAAAAUAGUUGACAUUACAUUUCACAUGUUAAAAAAAACCGGAGCUUACAUAGACAAGAAGCUGGAUUUGCUGCAAGAAUAGAGAACUCAGAAAAUAUAAAUGACAGAAGUAAAUGAUGAGCUUCAGAAAAUUGUAAGAAAAACAAUAAAUUGAACUUGUGUUUCUGUUUUCGUUUGUUGACCUAUGUAACGUAUAUCAUGUAUUUGUGAAAGGACAUAGUCUGAAUUGUUUUUGUGACUUUCUCUAAUUGUAUACUUCUUAGUUGCAUAACAUCUUGUCCUAAAGUAUGUCUGUGAAGGUUCUCAGUCAUCCAGGUCAUCGUAGUCAAAGGAGUUUGCAAAGAAAAGUGUCUGGACUUCUUUAAGUUGCUUGAAGACGUUUCACCUCUCAUCCGAGAAGCUUCUUCAGUUCUAAGGUCAAAUGGCCGAGAGUCCCAGAUUUAAACUCAGUGGGAGUAUCCCCCCAAGGAGGGACAAAGGACCCCCUGGUGAUCCUCUAAUCACAUGCGCCAAGGUGUGAAAGCGGGUGUGGGACCUAAUCAGCCAGGGUUUCGGGUGAGCUCAUUGUGAAACCUGGCCCCACCUUGUCAUGUGAAUUCCUGAGGUCAGAUGGCCCAGGAUGUGAGUGGGUGUUAAGGCGUCUGGGGACCUUAGAACUGAAGAAGCUCCUCGGAUGAGAGGUGAAACGUCUUCAAGCAACUUAAAGAAGUCCAGACACUUUUCUUUGCAAACUCCUUUGACCAUCUUGUCCUAAAAUGUUCCCUGAGUGAUAUUAUGAAGUGAAAAGCUUUACUCCUGGUGUGAGGCCUAAGCAAGAGCACAGUUAAGCUUUUCAGUCUUGAUGCUAUAAUGACUGCAGUAGUGAAACCUGGAUCCUUGUGUAGGCAGCACAAGUUGUCAGUUUGUUGCAGUUAUUUAAGUUCCAGUGUUGCAGUUGUUUAGGCUGUGUUUAACUUCCUUAUCACAAAGAGAUCAGAAAAAGGCAGACCUGCAUAGUGUUCUGUUCUGUUCUGAAACUAAACCUGAGGUUUCCAAAUCUAGCUUGUGCUUCCACAUGCAUGAUCUGGUGUUGGCAGCAUGUAACCAGUCACAGACAUGAACAGGUCUACUGGCAAGUUGUACUCCCACCUCAUGGAUUCUCUGCAGACAGUAAUAUUAUUUUAAUCAAAUUAAUGUAAUCAAAACAAGAAUAAUUUAAACACAUAAGCACAAAUAGUACAGUGUGUGUGUGUCAAUGUUUUAAUGUACUUCUUUAUUUAGAAGAGCUAUUCUGAUUCUAGAAAUACUGCUACAAUGUAUACCAUUAUAUAUUAACAUAUAUUGAGUUAGGUAAUAAAACUUUUGGUGAUUUGUAUCAAUAAAGGAUUUGGAACUGUGCAAACUGUGACAUUUAUGGGGAAAUAAAGCAUUUGUGGCUACUUGGUGAGAG
ensembl:lncRNA